AGCUGGAAUAGCUCAGUGGGUUAGAGCGUAUGGUUGUUAACCACAAGGUCAGAGGUUCAACCCCUCCUUUUAGCGU
rnacentral:tRNA from 1 species